GAUGAACGCUAGCGGCAGGCCUAACACAUGCAGGUCGAGGGGCAGCACAGAAACAGCAAUGUUUUGGUGGCGACCGGCGGACGGGUGCGUAACGCGUAUGCAACCUACCUUUAACAGGGGGAUAACGGAGAGAAAUUUCCACUAAUACCCCAUAACAUCGAUCAAGGCAUCUUGAUUGGUUGAAAAAUCCGGUGGUUAAAGAUGGGCAUGCGUUGUAUUAGGUAGUUGGUGAGGUAAUGGCUCACCAAGCCUACGAUACAUAGGGGGACUGAGAGGUAAGCCCCCCACACUGGUACUGAGACACGGACCAGACUCCUACGGGAGGCAGCAGUGAGGAAUAUUGGUCAAUGGGGGCAACCCUGAACCAGCCAUGCCGCGUACAGGAAGACGGCUCUAUGAGUUGUAAACUGCUUUUAAACAGGGAUAAAGCACAGUAUGUAUACUGUGUUGAAGGUACUGUAAGAAUAAGGAUCGGCUAACUCCGUGCCAGCCGCCGCGGUAA
rnacentral:rRNA from 1 species